rnacentral:rRNA from 1 species
UACCCAGACUCCUACGGGAGGCAGCAGUGAGGAAUAUUGGUCAAUGGCCGAGAGGCUGAACCAGCCAAGUCGCGUGAGGGAAGAAUGUCCUAAGGAUUGUAAACCUCUUUUGUCGGGGAGCAAAAAGGCUCUGCGGAGUCGUAUUGAGAGUACCCGAAGAAAAAGCAUCGGCUAACUCCGUGCCAGCAGCCGCGGUAAUACGGAGGAUGCGAGCGUUAUCCGGAUUUAUUGGGUUUAAAGGGUGCGUAGGCGGACUGGAAAGUCAGCGGUAAAAUCGAGAGGCUCAACCUCUUUCCGCCGUUGAAACUGUCGGUCUUGAGUGGGCGAGAAGUAUGCGGAAUGCGUGGUGUAGCGGUGAAAUGCAUAGAUAUCACGCAGAACUCCGAUUGCGAAGGCAGCAUACCGGCGCCCGACUGACGCUGAGGCACGAAAGCGUGGGUAUCGAACAGGAUUAGAUACCCUCGUAA